rnacentral:tRNA from 4 species
GGCAGUGUAGCUUAAUGGUAAAGCGUCCGCCGUUCAACGCGAAAGACAGCCGUUCGAUUCGGUUCGCUGCCC